GAAAGCUCAGCUGCGCGCGUCUGAGGCUUCGUGCCCAAAGUGCUAUGCUUCGCCGGCAAAAACAGUCAACUCAGAACUGGCACGGACCGGGGGAAUCCGACUGUCUAAUUAAAACAAAGCAUUGCGAUGGCCGCUGGUCGGUGUUGACGCAAUGUGAUUUCUGCCCAGUGCUCUGAAUGUCAACGUGAAGAGAUUCAUCAAAGCGCGGGUAAACGGCGGGAGUAACUAUGACUCUCUUGUCAUAUAGAUUGCUGCAAGAUUGCUGCACAAGAUCCUU
rnacentral:ncRNA from 1 species